GCUCAAUGAUUUUUUAAAUUGCUGAGGUAUUUUGACUGUGCUAAGGUAGCGAAGUCAUUUGUUCUUUUAUUGAGAACUUGUAUGAGUGGAGUUAUGGAGGUUUUUUUAUAAACGGUUUUUUAGCUGAAUUUGAUUUAUCUGUGAAAAGUUAGAUUUGUUUUCAAAGACGAGAAGACCCCGAAAUCUUUAUUUUAAAAUAAUGGGUUUUUAUUUUUGUUUGGGGGAAAAGUUAAUUUGUAUUAUUUUUUUUUAGUGUGAACUUUGUAGGUUAAAUGGAUAGAUACUUCGGGGUUAACAGGAUAAUUUUCUUUUGAAGUUCUUAUUUUAGAGGGAGAUUGUUACCUCGAUGUUGGUUUUUAGAAUUAAUUGGGGGUAGGUUUUCAUAUUUAUAGUCUGUUCGACUAUUGAAUCUAAACAUGAUCUGAGUUCAGACCGG
rnacentral:rRNA from 1 species